rnacentral:rRNA from 1 species
UAGGGGGCAAGCGUUAUCCGGAUUUACUGGGUGUAAAGGGAGCGUAGACGGCGUUGCAAGUCUGAUGUGAAAACCCGGGGCUCAACCCCGGGAGUGCAUUGGAAACUGUGGUGCUAGAGUGUCGGAGAGGCAAGUGGAAUUCCUAGUGUAGCGGUGAAAUGCGUAGAUAUUAGGAGGAACACCAGUGGCGAAGGCGGCUUGCUGGACGAUGACUGACGUUGAGGCUCGAAAGCGUGGGGAGCAAA